ACAGCCCGCAGGCGGCAGGCCGCAGCUCCUCCUCGGCUCCUCCCAAAAGGCCAAAACGGAGAAGCCAGGUCGGCCUUCGAGAUUUCAGAUUUCUACUCGCAUCGUUGUCCAGCGCGUCUGUUGGCAUUUCCCGGCAGGGAGGGGAGAACCGGAGGAGGGCUGGCGGAGGAUCGCAGCGCAGCCACGGCUAGGUCCUAGGGGCAUACGCCGGGGACGUACAGAUCUUGUUUUUUCAUUAUGCUGCGAAGGCAGGCGAAGCCAAGCUGAAUAUGCUACAGAUUCUGCAACUGUAAGUUGUGGAGAAUGUGUGUCCGCUUGCUCGCAAUAACCUAAGAUUCUGACAAAUGUUUCUUGAACCUUGGGAUAUCCACCUAUUCUUAUGUCUCCUUCAAUAUAUCCUCCAGUUUUCCUUCCUGCCAAUACAUCUAGUAGAGUUGUCUUCCCAGCUCCACUAGCACCCAUUAAUGCAGAAAGAACACCUGGACAGAAUGCACCAGUGAUGCUGUUUAGUAAUUGAAGUCUUCUAGCUGGGUAGCCUAGUUUUAGCAUUUCCUGCAACAUGGGUACAAUUGUUAUAUAUGUUAUUCAAAGAAAAUCAGGCAAGCACUAUAGAAACAAUAAGAAAAAGUGAAUAUGGGGCUUUUCAAAUUACCGGUGGUGUGUCAACAUAGUAGUUCAGAUUGUGGAACGUAAGCGCAAGUUGCUUAGUAGACAUAGCCAUCUUUUCUGCAAGAAGAUGAAGAUGUAGGAGAUUGCAUAUAUGAAUGGAUUAUGGUCUUGAAACAGGACUUUACUGGCUUUAUAUUGUUAUUGAGAAGUAUAUGUAUAUUCUA